rnacentral:rRNA from 1 species
CCUACGGGGGGCAGCAGUGGGGAAUAUUGCACAAUGGGGGAAACCCUGAUGCAGCGACGCCGCGUGAGUGAAGAAGUAUUUCGGUAUGUAAAGCUCUAUCAGCAGGAACGAGACAAGACGGUACCUGACUAAGAAGCCCCGGCUAACUACGUGCCAGCAGCCGCGGUAAUACGUAGGGGGCAAGCGGUAUCCGGAAUCACUGGGUGUAAAGGGAGCGUAGACGGCUGAGCAAGCCUGAAGUGAAAACCCAGGGCUCAACCUUGGGACUGCUUUUGAAACUGAGUAGCUAGAGUGCAGGAGAGGUAAGCGGAAUUCCUAGUGUAGCGGUGAAAUGCGUAGAUAUUAGGAGGAACACCAGUGGCGAAGGCGGCUUACUGGACUGUAACUGACGUUGAGGCUCGAAAGCGUGGGGAGCAAACAGGAUUAGAUACCCGAGUAGUC